GUACUGGCUUUGGCUGUACGUAUACUAAAAUUGAAAUGUUACAGAGAUUAGCAUGAUUCCUGUGCAAGGUUGAUGUGUAAAUUCGUGAUGCAUUCCAUAUUUUU
rfam:Octopus bimaculoides Scaffold235317_contig_4, whole genome shotgun sequence.